AUCUUUGCGCUUGGGGCAAUGACGCAGCUACAGAGGUUAUAACCGAGGCGCGUCAAUUACUGGUUGAAAACCAUUUCCAAACCCCCUAUUUGGCCUUCUUCCAUGGGAGGGCUAUCUUUGAGAUGGGCCACACAAAUCAAAAAAUAAAAUGAUAU